GAUGAACGCUGGCGGCGUGCCUAAUACAUGCAAGUCGAGCGAACGGACGAGAAGCUUGCUUCUCUGAUGUUAGCGGCGGACGGGUGAGUAACACGUGGAUAACCUACCUAUAAGACUGGGAUAACUUCGGGAAACCGGAGCUAAUACCGGAUAAUAUUUUGAACCGCAUGGUUCAAAAGUGAAAGACGGGCUUGCUGUCACUUAUAGAUGGAUCCGCGCUGCAUUAGCUAGUUGGUAAGGUAACGGCUUACCAAGGCAACGAUGCAUAGCCGACCUGAGAGGGUGAUCGGCCACACUGGAACUGAGACACGGUCCAGACUCCUACGGGAGGCAGCAGUAGGGAAUCUUCCGCAAUGGGCGAAAGCCUGACGGAGCAACGCCGCGUGAGUGAUGAAGGUCUUCGGAUCGUAAAACUCUGUUAUUAGGGAAGAACAUAUGUGUAAGUAACUGUGCACAUCUUGACGGUACCUAAUCAGAAAGCCACGGCUAACUACGUG
rnacentral:rRNA from 1 species